rnacentral:rRNA from 1 species
GACGAGCGCUGGCGGCGUGCUUAACACAUGCAAGUCGAACGGAAAGGCCUCUUUCGGGGGGUAAUCGAGUGGCGAACGGGUGAGUAACACGUGAGUAACCUGCCCUUGACUUUGGGAUAACUUCAGGAAACUGGGGCUAAUACCGGAUAGGAGCUCCUGCUGCAUGGUGGGGGUUGGAAAGUUUCGGCGGUUGGGGAUGGACUCGCGGCUUAUCAGCUUGUUGGUGGGGUAGUGGCUUACCAAGGCUUUGACGGGUAGCCGGCCUGAGAGGGUGACCGGCCACAUUGGGACUGAGAUACGGCCCAGACUCCUACGGGAGGCAGCAGUGGGGAAUAUUGCACAAUGGGUGGAAGCCUGAUGCAGCAACGCCGUGUGCGGGAUGACGGCCUUCGGGUUGGAAACCGCUUUCGCUCAUGACGAAGCUUUGUGUGACGGUAGUGGGUAAAGAAGCACCGGCUAACUACGUG